rnacentral:rRNA from 1 species
AUUGAACGCUGGCGGCAUGCUUUACACAUGCAAGUCGAACGGCAGCAUGGGUGCUUGCACCUGAUGGCGAGUGGCGAACGGGUGAGUAAUGUAUCGGAACAUAUCCGCAAGUGGGGGAUAACGUAGCGAAAGUUACGCUAAUACCGCAUAUUCCCUGAGGGGGUAAGGAGGGGAUCCGCAAGGACCUUUCGCUUACGGAGUGGCCGAUAUCAGAUUAGCUAGUUGGUGAGGUAAAGGCUCACCAAGGCUUCGAUCUGUAGCGGGUCUGAGAGGAUGAUCCGCCACACUGGGACUGAGACACGGCGCAGACUCCUACGGGAGGCAGCAGUGGGGAAUUUUGUACAAUGGGGGCAACCCUGAUCCAGCCAUGCCGCGUGAGUGAAGAAGGCCUUCGGGUUGUAAAGCUCUUUCAGCUGGAAAAAAAUCGCUUCACCUAAUACGUGGAGUGGAUGAUGGUACCAGCAGAAGAAGCACAGGCUAACUACGUGCCAGCCGCCGCGGUAA